rnacentral:tRNA from 1 species
UGCGGUGUAACUAAAUAGGUAGAGUAAUACAUCAACGCCCUCUUGCCAUUGCGGAGGGUGGGGGGGCGGGAUCAAGAUGUUAUUGCCCGACGCUAGUGCUGGUUCGAGUCCAGUCACCGCAG